UGUGGACUAGUAUGGACUAUGCAAGGAAAACGCUUUGCCAAUACACAACAUUUUUAAGUCAGCAAUACCAACGGGGAGCAGGUGAUAAAAUUCAGGAAUUACAGAAGGAAAAAAUGAUUGGUGCGUCUGAAUGGACUCGAACCAUCGACCCCCACCA
rnacentral:antisense_RNA from 1 species